rnacentral:tmRNA from 1 species
GGGGCCGUCCCGGAUUCGACAGGUUGGUGAAAGCCGACCCGUGAUGCAGGUCGAGAGUGAGUCUACUCUCGUAAAUUCAGGCUCAACUUCAAAAGUAACUGCGAACAACAUCGUUCCAUUUGCUCGUAAAGCAGCACCUGUUGCUGCCUAAAAGCCUCUAGUUAGGCACGAGCGUUCAUAGUCUGACUCCGUUAAGGGCUAUGGACAAAACCCCAACGGAUGCGCACUUUAAUUGCCU